rnacentral:rRNA from 1 species
UACGAAGGGUGCAAGCGUUACUCGGAAUUACUGGGCGUAAAGCGUGCGUGAGACGGUUAUCUAAGUCGGGUGUGAAAGCCCCGGGCUCAACCUGGGAAUUGCAUUCGAGACUGAAUAGCUAGGGUACGGUAGAGGGAAGUGGAAUUUCCGGUGUAGCGGUGAAAUGCGUAGAUAUCGGAAGGAACAUCAGUGGCGAAAGCGACUUCCUGGACCAGUACCGACGUCAGGCACGAAAGCGUGGGGAGCAAACAGG